rnacentral:rRNA from 1 species
UAGGGAAUCUUCCGCAAUGGGCGAAAGCCUGACGGAGCAACGCCGCGUGAGUGAUGAAGGUCUUCGGAUCGUAAAAUUCUGUUAUGAGGGAAGAACAAAUGUGUAAGUAACUAUGCACGUCUUGACUGUACCUAAUCAGAAAGCCACGGCUAACUACGUGCCAGCAGCCGCGGUAAUACGUAGGUGGCAAGCGUCAUCCGGAAUUAUUGGGCGUAAAGCGCGCGUAGGCGGUUUUUUAAGUCUGAUGUGAAAGCCCACGGCUCAACCGUGGAGGGUCAUUGGAAACUGGGAAACGUGAGUGCAGAAGAGGGAGGUGGAAUUCCAUGUGUAGCGGUGGAAUGCGCAGAGAUAUGGAGGAACACCAGUGGCGAAGGCGGCUUUCUGGUCUGUAACUGACGCUGAUGUGCGAAAGCGUGGGGAUCAAACAGG